GAGAGUUCAUAGGCAAUAGCCAUCGCUCCAUAAUAGCCUCAUUAAUAUUUCCAAUGUGGUUCGGCUCUUUGCUCUGUUCUGCCUGUCAAAAAAGAUGCUAUCCCUGUGAUUAAAACCAUUACCAGUCCUUCAAAGAUUACAUAUGGCUUUCAGGCCUCAGCCUCAAUAGAUGCAGGAAUUUUAUCACCCCUGAUAUGCAAGAGACUACACAGAGUGCAUCACAAUUGUCUUUAUGUUGAUCCACUUGUGUCGAUGGAGGCUACACGGAAUAUACACAUUACAUCAUUCUUUGAUGGACUCGAUGUCUCAAAGGGAAAGGAUUGAUGGGAUCAACUCCAGGAAUGGAUAAAAGAGUAGAGAGGAAGAGAAAGAAGCUGAGUCACCCAUUUGCAGAAACUUUCCAGAUGGACACAGAAACUAGGAUUUGAACUCAUGUUCAAGUGCCCGUUCAUCUUCUGAGAGAUGAUACCUCAUAAAUCUGGGCUGCUUGACUGGAAAUGCAAGAACCUCACCCACCUUCUAGCAUUGCAAUGACGGAGGUGUCCGUCUUCUGGAUAAUGCUGAGGUUAUGAAUCUGGACAGCAGUAGGAUCGUCUUCCCGGUAAACCAGUGCUUGGUACACUCGGAUGUUUCCAUUGGGCUGAGAAGGUGGAAGGAAUGUCAAUUGAAACUUUGUUACUUCAUCUGGUAUCUUCUGAAAUGUCAUAUUAUUAGUGCCAAGCCAGAGACCAGACAUCGAGAACAGAGAACAGAGAAUACUGUUCACAAGACAACAGGCCUUAUUCUGAUUUCAUCGCCUUCUCAUGGUUUUGUGCGUGAUUUACUUUUAUGGAAUCGUUAGACGUAUAGAAACCCGUAAACACCAACAAGGAAGAGUCAGGGAUCAUGUAGGUGCAAUGCUGAGCUUGCAGAAGGCAGAUAACAGCCUGCAGGGUUUUUGUCCUGUCCUUCCAACGUGUGGGAUGGAAUUCUGGUCAUGAGUCUUGGCAACAAAUAUCUACGCCCUCUGAGGAAGAUCCCAAAUGCAAGGUCUCCAGCCAUAAGAGAAAGGAUCAGCAGCCUUGUUUGCCACCAAGAAGUGUUUCCUUUUGUAGCUUAAUAGGAAAUAUUUGACAUGGAAAGACAUCUGUGCUGCUUAUAGUUUAUUUUUUAUUAUCAAUAAGGCUAACAUUACUAUCUGUGUGUAUACAAACAUAAGUUUUUGAUUUUUUAUGAUCAUUGUUGACAAUUAAUUGCUUAGCCAUAUGGAGAGCACAUAUUUCAUUUUACAUGAGACUGGCAAAAUAUUUUUCCAUGUGUCUCCACUACUUAAUGUUCCCACUGGCAGGUGUCAGAGCUCAUUUUAUAUCUUUGCCACUCUUUGGUAUUUACUGCUACUUUUAAAAUUAUUGUGCAAUUCUGCUUCAGAGGAUGGAUGGUUACAUGAUAUUGUGGAUUUAAUUUGCAUUUACCUAGGGCUAAUAGUCUUGAAAAUUUAUCAUACUGUGUUUAUGUGCUAACCAUACCUCCUGAUGGAUGGGAUGUCCCUUUAUGUCUUUUGAUGAUUUUGUAAUUGGACUUUUUAAUUGCUGAAAUGUCUAAUACACUAGUUAGUUUUGUUUUGUUUUGUUUUGUUUUACCAAAAUUAAAACGCGGCAGGACAGUUGCACACAUGGACUCAUGCUACUUGUGAGUGCAUGUAAAGCCCUGUGAAAGUCCAAAUCAGACCAAAUUACAACGUGAAGAGGAGAGGUAGGCACAAGGCUCUACCCCAUCCAAGGAGUUACUGGCAGCAGGAGCUUCUGGCAUAAAAAUGUCAGUUUUCUCUUAAACUGUGAGUCGUAGUAAGUUGAGUGCAUCCCAACAGAAAGCCAUACAGCCAAGAGUAUUUGGGCAACGCACAUCGUCCUUGCUAGGAUGAGGGUAGACAUCUGUGGUAAGAGGGAACGGCGUAUACGUAAGAAGAGUUGGGGCAAGGGAUGGAAAUAGGACCAAAGCUCAUUGUGUUCAAUCCUUAAAGAACUAAUUUAAAAAUUUAAAAGAAUUUUUUUUCUUCUAGAGGACUACUUUAGAAAAGAGGACACUCAGACAGAUGGGGUUAAAGAAGUUGCCUGUGAUCAGAGUAUGAGCAAGAGAGCAAUUGUCAAAAUAAAAUCAUUACUCUGUACAAUUAAUUAAUACUCUGUGCCGAGAAAAUAUUCCCUUAUUAAAACUAAACAAACCACCCACAGAAAAGCUUGGUAUGUCACUAGCGGUAACAAAUUAAACAAUAAAAUAAUAGAUGAGAAAACCUCAUUUGAAGAUUGUAGGGUUACUGUUCUUUGCACCACAUCCUCAAGGAAUUUGUUCAUUAUUGUGAUCGGAAUGACAGGGGAAAGUUUUCUGUGAGGAAGACGUGAGGUGCGGCCUCAUGGUGCAGACUCUAGGGCUUUGUUAACUUCAGCCUUCUUGGCAGGUGGAACCCUGGAGCACCUCUCCAGUAUGGAUAAAUAAUAGUAAAAAGACAAGCAGAAAUUUGCAGCAUUUUGCAAAAUAUCCCAUGCUAUGUAGUAUAGAGUUCUAUAGAUAUCAUAAAGCUUAGUUUGGCUUAAACAUAUUUUUCCACUUGCUUUUACACAUUUACAUUACUUAAAGAAUAUUUCCUUUUAUUUGUAGAAUGUGUUUUUGUAAAUUGAGGAUCAGGCUUAAAGCUGGUUAAGGCAAGGAAUUCUCUCAAUAUUGGCAACAGUUUCCUAUCCCCAGAUUACCCACAGCUUUACGUAAUGAAUCCUAUAAACAGAGAGGGUUUUAGUUCAUUUGUUUGUCUUCAUAUUUUUUUCUUUAAAUAGUACUGUUAAUUACCUCCUAGGUCAUUUGUUCUCAAACUGUCUGAUGCUGCUUCCUUUUAAUGCAGUUCCUGAUGCGGUGGUGACCCCCCACCAUAAAAUUAUUUCAUUUGUACUUCAUAACUGUAAUUUUGCUAGUGUUAUGAGUCUUAAAGAUCUGAUAUGCUAGAUUUCUAAUAUGCAACCUGGGUGAGUAGGGUCACAUCCCACAGGUUGAGAGCCACUGUCCUAGGGCAAGAUGAUGCAAAUAGGAUUUGACCAGCCAUGUUUUGUGGUGUACAUGUAAGUUUAUUCACCAACCCUUUCUUCACUGUGAAGUGUGAGGAAAAAAAAGCGAAAAUUGAAAGCAAAAUAUAAAUGAUCCCUUUGAUAGUUGGUAGUAAAAGAGAAGCGAAUGGAAUCUUUGAGUGUGGGAAGAAAAGGUAUCUUGAAAAUUAGAGUUAACACUUUGCAGUAAAUAUUAGAAAACAUAGCAAAAGUAAGAGAUUCGCUGAAAAAAUAUCUUUCCCUCCUCUAUAUACCUUAGAGAUAGCAAAUAGAUCAUAGCAACGCACCCCUCCACUAUCAUUUUCCAUGACAUAUCUGGUAGCAAAGAACAUUGAGAUUCUGAAGAAAGGAGGCAAGCAGGCCCAGGGGAUUCUCUGCAUCUGACCCCGGCUUCUCUCACAGUGCUUUGGUUUAUCCAAACCGUUCAUAGAUUAGAGAAAAUCUUCAUGGAGUCUGAUAUCCAUCAAAUAAUCACAUAAUUUGAUGUGCCACUUCACUAAGAAAACAAUUAUAUGUGAACUGGUUUUUUAGUACCAAAUUACUCAAUAUUAUUAGUCAAUCUCCACAACAAGUCAGGACAGAAAUAAUCAAAAUGAAAUGUUGGAUGAAAUAUCGUUAGCUGAAGACAUUUAGGAAAAUUAUCUGUUAGGCCCAGUAAUUCAAUUUCUAAAACACAGUCGAUUAGUACAAAAGAGUGCAGUUGUGAUGCAUUUAAUUAAUUUCCAUAUUUACAAGGACUGAAUAGUCUAUGCAUUGCCUCAAAAGUGUUAGCCACCUUUACUUUGUCAAUUGCCCUGUCAUCGAAUUUGUUUAUCCUUUUAAAACUGUUCUAUCAAUGUCUCAUAGCACACAUCCUUUCUUGAGAAGAGUGUGAGCUUUAAGAAAGCAACAGCCGACUCUCAGUUGACUGUUAGGAAUGGUGAGAUACGCUCCUUACCUGAUUCUAAAGUCGUAAUUAUCACUUCUGCACUUGACUUCCCAUCUGUGUAUGCCCGACUAACAUUUCCUACAAAGGCUGUGAUCACCACAGAAUACCUUGUAAAUACUUCUAAGUUGUUAAUCUCUGUGGUUUUGUUUUCUUCAUUUGAUUUCAGGAAGGAAAUAUUAAAGUCAUCAUCAUCUACCUGUGGAUAAAGAAGUUAGCAAUUAAGAAAGAUAACAGGCCAAAGCUAAGUCAUGCUGAUCUGGCCAAUAUUUAGCAUUUACUUUGAAGUCAAACUGCUCCAAAAAAUCCAAAGUACUAUAACAAUUAAUUCAUUUGUAAUCAGUUUAAUAAUUGAAAGUCAAAGAAAGUAAUCAACUCAUCGGGAUGAACCAACCUAUCAAAUGAGUAAGCAAAAGUCACUUGGGCAUUGACGAAACUGUUUUCUACUUCAACAGUUGAUAGAAAGAAAAUAUAGGUUUUUCCAACAUUUAAAUUCCAAACUGCUCAAUAAAUUCCAUUUGGCAACGUACUUACACUGUCUUACUUUCUACUAGGGUGAUAAUACUGAGUUAUACUGCCUUCUUGAGAAUUUAUAAAGAAUAGGUCUGAAGGAGUUGGACUGGAGAUUUUGAUAUAUUUUGAAAUAUCUCUGAAAAUUAUGCUCUGUAACAAAAUUAAGAAGCUAUUUAAGUUAUAUUUAUGUACUUUCUAACAGUCUUAAUUUGGAGAGGACAACUUCCUUUUGACAUGCACACUGAUAUAUUCUGCCCCUUUUAAUUUUUCUUUUUCUAAUUUUUAUUUAAUAGUUUUUAUCUUUGAGAUUAUAAAAUAUUUAUGACAGUUCUCCCUUUCCUUCCCUCCAAACCCUUCUACAUACCCCUGCCCCCUCUCCAGACUCAUUCUCCCUCAGUCUACUUUGUCACUAAUCGUUUUUGCAUGCAUAGUCACUGUUCUGGUCAUAAUUACAGAUCAAAAAGCUUCUAACCUGCCAUUGGUAGGUGUAGCAGUGGUUAUGGACACAACUAGCUAUCAAUAGAAUAGUCAAAACUCGGGCGCAAAUGAGUAUCUUUAGGUAUAUUAAAAGUGGCUACAAGUUCUGUUCAAAUAUAGUUUGUCUUUAGUUUUCCCAUCAUUCUAGACAUUAAACAUGACUACGUUUUUAGAAGCAAAUAGAAGGAUAGAUGGUCAUUAUGCAAGUGGUCAUUAUAUAGGCAUGGGAACCUAUGGGAUCCCUAGCAUCUAUAUAGAAGUCAGGUAGAACAGGUCACAUUUUUUAUCCCAGCACUAGGGUAGGAGAACAAAAGAAUGCAGAUCUCGCAGUCUAUCUGGCAACCACUCAGAAAACUGCAAGUGAGAGACCCUCAAAACAUAAGGUGAGGAGUGACUGAAGACACCAAUGUUGACCUAUAACCUCCAUGAGUGUGUACACAUUGGCACACACACACAUACACACAUACACAGACACACACACACACAAAACACAAACUCUCUCUCCCAUACACACACACACACACAAACACAAACACUCUCUCACACACACACAUACACACAAACACAAACACACACACUCUCUCUCUCACACAUACACACACACACACACACACACACACACACACACACACACACACACCAUGUACACAUAUAACAAGAUUUUUCCUGACACAAAUAUGAGAAAAUUUAUAACCCUUCAGGAAAUAUUAGUCACAGGCAACUGAGUAUUACAGGUUUUGCUUAAGGUUAGCAUUAUGAAGAUAAUUUUUAAUUUGCCCCUCCUUUGAAACACUGAAAAAUGAUUUUGGAGUUACUCAAUUGUUUCUUUAAAUUUUGGGUUGUAGGGGCUUUUAACUUAAAGUAGAUGCUGCUGUGGCUAAUAAAUAACCGGAAUUGCAGUAAAAAAAAAAAAACCUCAUUCGUUGUACAGAAUGAGGUAGCCCACUUCUCUAAAAUGGCAGAAAAACCUCUUGGCACACACAUUCUAUUCAUUGAGCACAAUACCCUUGGUACAAAAUAUAUGAGUACUUAAUUAGUUGUCAAAACUUAAAUUCCUAUAAAAUAUGGAUUUACAAUUUUUCUAUGUGAUUAGGCUCUUAUCCAUGCUGAAUAAUAACUAUAUAGGGCUAAUGAAUAGUCGAUCCCUGUAAGGGAGGAUGAGGAGCCCAGUAAUUACUCUCUUGGCUUCUGUUUUGUGUUGCUUGCCUGAUUACUGCCAAGUGAAAUUUACUAACAUGAGGUAGAUUUUCAUAAUUCAGGUGACUCCCUUAAAUUCCAGAAGAUGGCUGUAACAAGGAGAUUACAAAAUCAUCCUACAACAUUUUUGUCUUCUUUUCUUUAAUUAUAGCCAAAUUCCAAAGACAAUUUCUUUCAUGAAGAAUCAUUCGUAACUAUCUUUCUAUAAUUUGCAUUAAAUGCAUAUUCCCAGGGAAUUUAUCUCUUUUAUCCUUUUCUGCUAAUGUACUAAGAUCUUCACAAAUAUACUCUCAAAAUAAGCAAGAACUAAAGAAUGUGUGGGAGAAGGCAUUAAAAUUUCAUUUGCUCUUAACAAUAGCAGGGUUUUUGAGACAGAAGUAUAUCCUUUAAAGAAUUCAUAUAUUUACCCAUCCCACAGUCUCAUCUCCCCUAGAACAUAUGCUAUUUUAUUACAAGUUACAAUGCUUUCUCUUCUCUGAGCUCUACACAUACAUGCAGUCCUGUUAAUGCAGCUGCAUGGGGAAGAUUGACUGCAGCUUUCCAGGUAGUACACCUUACAGUCCUACCAAUCCACCAUGCAUGUUAGGUGAGUUUUCAAUCUUAAUUGUUGAAAUUAAGCUGUAAAUUAUUUUAAAUAAUUUAUUUGUUAAUCGAUAAAUUAUUAAUUUAUUAAAUUAACAGACCUAAAUUAUUUCUCAUCUGGAUCAUUUACUAUAUUUUCUUGGUCUCUCUCUCUCUCAAUCUCUCUCUCCCUCUCCUUCUCCUUUGACCCAUUUUUUUCUUAUAUUUUCCUGACCCUGACCCUGACCUAGAUCGUAUCCCGCAUACACAAUACACACUAUCUCCCCAAGCAAUCAGCCUGCCAGUAUAAGAAAAAUCUUACCAUACCACCGUUUCAGUUAUUCAAGUAGAACUAUGAACAUAAAAAUGAGGGUCCAAACCAUGUGUCUAGUCAUGUCUCAGUACACCAAGUUCUGAGUGCCAUGGCAUGCGGUAGUUGUAUUAUUUGCUUUGAAAAAAAAAGAUUACUAUUCUUUGAUAUUUCUGUUAUCUUUUCCCCUUCAUGUUCUCUGAAAAUUAUUGAAAUUUAGCUCUUUAGACCUCAUCUGGGUUACUGCUUCCUGAAUGCCUCUUCUUUCUCAUUCGAUGAGAAAAGAUCCUUUUACUACAUUUUAAACCAAACUUACCAGCUUUCCAAUACAUGUAUCAUCUUGGCCCCAAGAAUAAAUGCAACAAGCACUGGGUUAAGGAUACUGUUGUUGAGAAGUUAGUAACUGCAUGGUCAACAGCCUAAGCUGAAAAAGCUAUCCAAGGUCUAAGAAUCAUGCUAUAAAAUUAGACACUGCGUAAAUAAUCAGAAUCAUGAACUGUGAUCUAGUGUGUGAUUUAUACUGCCUUUCAGAGUAGGUAAGACCCGCCUUACCGAUUUGACAUCAAUCAGGUAGAAUGUUGGUCCAGUUAUGACAGCAGGUUCACUCCAGCUGAUAUUGAUACCAAAGGGUGAUGUUGCGACCACGUGCACAUUUUCAGGAGGACCGUCAGGAGCUACAACGAUAGGAAAUCAAUUACUCUGCCACAUUAGUACUCGAUACAGCAUAAAAGGAAGGACCAUGAAGAAUGGAUAGUCACAAUGAAUUAAUUUUGCAUUCAUUUGUAUCAUAAACAUACUGAAAGUUAAUCAUAAGACUAGAUUUUUUAAAACCUAGUUGCUAUACACAAAUGACUUCCACCUAAAAUAAUUAAUUAAAAUCAUAAUACAUAAUAUCUAAAUUUGACCUAAUAUUUCUAAAAUAAAGCAUUAUCAUAAUUCCAUCAUUUGACUAAAUAACUAUCUCAUUUAAAAGUAAGUAACUUGACAGAGCUGUUUUAAGAAGACUCUUUCAGAGACAUUUGACCAUUGAAAAAGGCAAAAAUAAAUCAUAGAUGGGAACUAUUAUAAAAUGCUGGCAUUGUUUAAACUAUCACUCUGGGAAUGCUAACUGCGUUCAUUUUGUGUUUUCAUCGAGGGGUAGAAUGAGAUACAGCUCUGCAGUCAUUCUGGUCUUUCCGAGACACAUGAACCUCUGUUGUAAUCAUGAGGCAUCCUAAUUUCGAAAAUUUACUGCAAUGAAUCCUGAGGGUGUUCAGUUUGUGAAGCGACUAGGGUGAGGCGAUUCCUGAGAAGCCUUUGACAUGGGAUGAAGGUAGCCAUACUGCCGGGCCCAGAGACUCAGGCCAAUUGUUCCAAUUUAAAUGUUUACAUCCAAACUAGCAAUCAUUACUAUCCGUGUACUGCCAUUUCCACUCUGAGAAGAUAUAAAAUGAGCGUGAGACAUCAUUUUCCUUAAAUAAUCUCUAACCUACGGAGAGUAACAAGCUGUGUGGUCCUGUUAAAAUGAAGAUGUGUUUGACCUUGGUUUCACUAUCAUGCCUAUACUUGAUGGCAUUUUUUUUUAAGUGUAAAAAACCAGAUAUGUAGCAGUAGCUGUUCUAGGGGUUGGUAUUAUAGUGUCAAUUAGCGAGACGUGAGGAAGAGCGGUGUCAAUGCGAAGGUUAACUAGAAAAUACAAACCAUCUAGCAUGAGGGAGCAAAGGUAAAUUUGUAAAUGUAAGUGGAGCUGGCAAUUGAGGUAAAGCUUCAGAGAUGGUGGACUAACGCUAGGCCUUAAGGUGAGGAAGGCUUAAACUCAGGAGGACAGAGUUAGUGAGACUUCUGUAGAGCCAUAACAAAGCAGCAACGACACAAAUAAGUCUAUAGAAACAGAAUUGGAUUCCUGUAUUAACGUGCUUCACUUCCUUUCUAUGUGUUAUGCUGCACAUCUCUUCUCACUUUUCAGGGUCCUAGGGUUUCUAUUGCUGUGUUGACAUACACGGCCAAAUUAGCUUAGGGAGGACAUGAUUUAUUUGGCUUCCUCUUUCAUAUUCUUGUUUGCCAUUAAAGGAAGUCAGGACAGGAACUCACACAGGGCAGAGACCUGGAGGAAGGAGCUGAUGCAGAGGCCAUGGAGGAGUGCUGCUUACUGGAUUGCUCCAGAGAGCUUACUCAGCCUGAUUUCUUAUAGACCCCAGGAUCUCGAGCCCAGGGAUCACACCAGGCACAAUGGGCUGAGCCCUUCCCACACCAUCAAUCAUUAAUUUAGAAAGUGUUGUACGGUAGUAAUCUAUGGAGGCAUUUUCAUACUUGAGGUUCCAUCCUCUCAGAUGGCUUCAGCCUCUGUCAAGCUGACAUAAAAGAUCUAGAAUGCUUGGCCUCUACACCGAAGAACUUGUGUUCAUUGUUUUAAAUAUCAGGAUAGCACAACUGAGGGGAGGAGCAUUUGUUCAGCACUUAGGGAAGAAAACUCAGGUCAGCGAGGAAGAAGUAGAUGCUUUGUAUGAAUUAACUCAAGCCACUAUCAAUAGACAAAAAUACUGACUGGUGCCAUGAUAUUAAAUUUCCCAGGCUCUGGGAAAAUGAUUUUAAUAUUUAGGUAAUUCCUUAUACAUUGAGAUGCCAUCAGUAAGGCUAGAGUAUAAGCGAUAAUAGACUCCAAAGAGACCCAGGUUCUACUUCAACAGCAGAUAGGUAUAUAUGGCGCUGCUGUGUUUUGAGUGUGCUCCUCUAAAAUUUAGGUUUUGAAACAUCACCAAGUUAUGGUAUUAAGAAGUAUGGCCUUUAAGAGAUGAUGUGAGGUCAUGAGAGCUCCUAACACCAUGAGUAAGUUUAAGGAUCACAUACAAGAAGUUUCACAGAGCAUCAGAAAAUGGAGGUGUUAAAGGAAGAGCAGUAUUCAUGAAAUUAAAUAGCAGAAAUAUUCCCCAAAGAGAAACUUUGAGACCUAGUUGAGCGCUUGACUCUACACUAAAGAACUUGAGUUCAUUGUUUUAAAUAUCAGGAUGGUUAAUUUUGUCUUCUGCCUUCCACCUUGUAAAGAUGUAACAUUCCUCCCAACCUCCCCCCCCCAGGGUGUGCAGCUCUCACCAGAUGACCAUAUAUUUAGGUAUUGUUAUUUUUCACUUUUCAUCCUCUAGAAUUAUUAGGAGUGAAUAAAAAUGCAUUCUUUAGUUAUUUAUUGUAGGCAUAAUAGAAGGACUAUGGUAGAAUUUAGGUGGAAAAUUUAGUCCGUGAAAAACAUUGAAGCACUUUAACAAUAGCACUAAAAUGCAAAAUAAGCCUUGAGUAUUCAUGGAAAGUGAAUGAGGAAACGUGGGCCUGAAGACUCGGAGACUUCAAGGGCACUACUAGAAUCUUUUGAGAACCUUCUGGGCAAAAAAUCCAAACAUCAUAGAUUGUUAUCACAAAGUAGAAGAGGUCACCAUAGAUUAUGGCUCCUGAUACCUACUUCAUACUUGACGUGUUAUGUCCUUCCAUUCUAUCAAACAGAAGGGCAAGCUAAAUGAAUUCUCUGAGGUCUCUUACAGGGACCUUAAUCCAGCUCACAGAGGGAGGAGCCUUCAAGUCCUACUUACCCCAUCAAACAAUUAGAUCAAAGAAGUAAAACCAAUCUCUACAAGCGAGCUGAUUCGUCUCUAUGAAACGCCCAAGCUCAGAGCUGGUGAGAGACACUUUGGGACAGAUACCCCAACAGACAAGUUCUUCCCUUACUAUUGCCCUGACAUCACAAGCAACCAUUGCAAAUUUUUCUUUCUUUCUUUCUUUUUUUUUUUUUUUUGGUUCUUUUUUUCGGAGCUGGGGACCGAACCCAGGGCCUUGCGCAAAUUUUUCUAACUUAAGGUUGGUGAUUUGGGGUUUCUUUCUGUACUGAUGUCAGUUUGGUUUUGGAAAGAUUUUCAAGAGAAUACAUCCACAUCUUCUUGGUUUCCAGGAUGCAUUUUUAAGUUUCAGCUAAGGGCAGAUCCAGAACCCGCUCCAAGAAAGACCAGGACUCACCAGUACAUCUGUAAACCAGCUCAGAAGAGAGCAAAAUGCCUUGCUUUGACUUUUUAUCUCUUACUGUAAAAUGUCAACCCUGCAACCAUUCCUUUAAUGAAAGCAAUCAAAGCACUCACCAGGGAGUGGCAGUGACCCCAAGCAGAGCGGAGAGAAACAUGACAUUCAGAAAUCACUCAUGACACAUCUGCCCACCCAUGCAACUAAAUAUUUUAUGUGCUGUACACUGAUCAAACAUAUUUUUAAAGCAAUCUAUCCAGCCCCUUGGAGAUCUGUGCUAAAAUGUCAUUUCUUAAACUCUCUAAAGUUGUUCUUCCAUAUGAUUUUCCUUUAAGGUAUAAUCACUAUUAUAAAUCAAAAUUAUAAAUAAUCACUCUAAACUACAUUUGCUUUUUCAGUAAGCUGAAUGAUAAAAUUGCCAGUUUUACACAAAAGUAACCCGUGCCGACUGCUUCUGUGAAAAAUUUUAUAUUUCAUCAACUCGAGUUAUAAAAGAUUAGAAUUUCUAAAUUAAAACCAUAAAAUGAAAUGAAAUAUAUAUAUAUAUUUGCAAAUUUGCAAAUACAUGAGUACAGUGUUUGUAUAUAACAAUGUGUAUUCUGCUGAAGAAAUGCAAAAGUAAUUAUUUAAUUCAUAGGAAAUUUAAAACAAAUGUAUAAAACUUCAAAGAUCAUCCUUUAUAUCAAGUAGUUAAGUACUUUAUCAUCUUUCAAAUUAUAUAAGCGCUCAGAUAUCUCAAAGGCUUUUAGAUAACUUUCUUGUAGAAUUUAUCAAAAUGUGAAAAAUACCUAAUAAAGUAUACCAACAUUAUCUCCUUCUUCCACUGCAAUGUCUGAUAAACUAUUACUGUAGUCACAUUAAAAAAAACCCACAAAAUUUAGGAAUGCUAAGCACUAAAAUAAAAGAAGCCAAGAGUGGUAAUGCUAUGAAGAGCUCAAAGGAUACCAGUUUGAAAGAUCAGUAAGUUAUAAGCGUCCUUGGGAGACGUUGUUUGUCUCCCUGUAAACUGUCACAUUCUGAUUUAGGAUUGUUUGUGAAAUGAAUCUAGUCACUAAUGGGCCAAGAUAUCACUAUAGCCUGUGUCUUAUAAAUCACAGCAAUUUUCUCAGUAGGCAUGAUCUAUCCUUAUUCUCAUCCCCCAUAAUCCAAUCAUUUCCUCUCACAAGCCUUUUCCCCCUGGUUUUCACAAUAAUGCAUUUUCUGUAACUAACAACCAUCAUUUCCUGAUUGUCAUGCUUCUAUCCUUGCACAGGAAUGCGGGUCUUAUGUGGGUCAGGGUCAUCUUUCCCAUCCAUCUGUGUCUCCAUGCCAAGUGUGGUAGCUAAAAGGUGAGUCUGGAUAGACCAUCAUUUUGCCUAGUCCAUAUAAGAGUCUGACUUCCCCCAAGACUGAACCGCACUAAGAACCAAUACGCGUUGCGGUGUUUGAUAGCACACUAUCUGUGUGUCUCCCUCGAAGACUUGCGCAGUGUGUUGAUCUCAACUAAUGCUGAAACCAUUAGAGUAAGUGCUCAAUUGUUUUAAGUGUGCCACUCUAUGCGUGAAUUCCCUUAAAAGCAUAGGUAUUAAAUAAAAAUAAGAUGUGACAGCAGCUCACAAGGUAGAAAAUCUGGGACUCUAAUGCAAUAUAAUUUAAAUGUUCUAUAUGUCUAUUUUCAUUCAAGUUUAGCUUAAACUUUGUUUAAAAACACCUCCUCGGCAGUUUGUGCUGGUUCAGGAUCUGACGUGCUGGGUCAUCGGAUUCUUAACAAACACCCUCACUGACUGAUGAGAUCGAUAGCUUGUCUGUUGUAAAGACACUAACUAACUCUAGCAUUGUGACCCGGAAGAAUUAGCUUCAGGUAUUUCUAAAGCAGUGGUCUUGAUCCCACAGGGGUCACGUGUCAGAUGUCCUACGCACCAGUUAUUUAUAUUACAAUUCAUAACAGCAGCCAAAUUAUAGUUAUAAGGUAACAAUAAAAUAAGUUUAUGGUUAGGAGCCACAGCAUAAGGAAUUGUUUUAAAGGGACUCGGCAUUAGGGAGGUUGAGAACUGCUGCUCUAGAGACUAGAGGAAAUCUAGCUGGCUGUGUAGAGUCUUUGCAUCUUGAAAGAUCUGAGGUGUCAACAGAAACACAUCAUUAUGUUCGCAAUGCAAUGCACGGUAAGAACAUCUUGCUACCUGCCUCUUUCCAGUGGUCCCAUGUGUAUGAUAACUCAUUGCCUUCCCACAGAGCCUAGAAUUUCCUUGCUCAGAACAGGAUAAGACUGUUAGUAUAGACAAUAUUCCAUACCAUUUUACGGACCUUAAUUUUUGCUGUAUAGUUAUUCACAAUAACCAUGAAGAGCAGGUACUGUGAACCUAAGGAUUUGUCAAAUUACACCAUCUAGUAAGUGCAGUGGGUAUGACUCAUGGAUGCUCACACUAUUGGACUUUAUCAUAUAAUUAUCUCAUUUAAUUUUUAAAGGGGAUAUUAUCUGUCAUCAUUGCAGACCAGUUUGCAAAAGAAAUGAAAUGACAGAAAUGCAAAAUACAAACCGAUCACCUUCUAAUGUUAACUUUGCCAGAUGAAUGAAAAUAUUCCAGUAUUCUACUAGUGAUUUAGAACAAUACAUCUUUUUCUAGAAUUAUAUCAUAUUUACCAAAUUACUUUGCAAAAUACUGGCUCUAGCAUGGCAGUAUCUAUACCCCCAAUAACAGUCCUAAAAGAAACAACCACUGACGCCAUACUUCAAACUAAAUGAACUGAACCCCGGGGAAGGGAACCAUUAAUUAAUGUGCACCCAGGACAGUUAUUUGUUGUAAAAUAUUUAAUAAGCAUUGCUUUCUAAUGUCAACAUACCUCUGGCAAUAUAGUAACAAUGAUAGAAAUGGGGCUUGGCUAGCUGCUUCCCACUGUCGUGAAGGCUGAGGUGGUAGUUGUGUAGGAGUUUGGAAGCCAGUGAUGCAUCUAGGGAUUUGUGCCUCUGAGCACAGUCACUCUGGAGAAAGAGUGGUCUGCACUACACUCUGUCUUAGCUGUGGAUAAACUAUGAAGUAAUCUUACUGGUAAUUACUCUCUCCAGUCUCAACGUUCCACGAAAGCAUGAGGAAAUGUACCUGCUUUCAUUCUGUCUUGGAAGGAGACGUACUCAAGCCGGACCAUAAGCAGAAUAGAACAUGAGCACUAAAAUAAACACGGCACUUUUGAUCUGUUGUUCAUUUGUUCACGGGCAUAAUUUAGGUAAUAUAAUCAUCUGGGUAUCAUUAAAAACAUUCAAAACAAGGGAUUAAAACAAUUCCAUGGUAUAAUUUGAGGCAACGUGUGUUAAGAAAAGCCCCAUCCAUCCAUUUUUGAUUGGAGAUACCUGGAUUAUUUGUUUAAAACGUGGAUAAAUACACUCAGAUCUUUCUUAGACCAAGUAGUUAGGACUGAUACUGUCACACGGUAACAUUUCUUAUAAUUUCAUGUCACUUUUAUUUUUAAUGUUGCAGAGAAAAGAAGUUUGUUGCUCAUAUAUAUAUUAGAUUUUUAAAAAAUUUUUAUUUUUUAAAUAUUUAUUUUCAGCUUUAUAAUCUGUAAAGAUCUUUUUUCUGAUGGUAUGUUAUUUACUAGAUUAAUUUUAUAACCUUGCUGUUAUGUCUUUUCAAUUAUUAUUUUGGCAGAUGCUCUUCGUAAUAAUAUUUAGCUUUAUUACACUCUUGAUAAUUUCUACACUGCUACUGUGCUGCCUUUCUCCCCCACUCCCUUCCCUGUGUAUUUCAGGCUUCUUCGGAAAUCAAUAUGGAGACUAGACUGAUGUCAAACUCAUUAUCUCCUGCUUUCACUUCUCAAGUGCUAAAACUCAUGGGUACGAGCCAUUAUUUGUCUGUUGCUACGUUUAUUUCACCCAGAAGGUUUUCCCAGUCCCAUAAAGAUCUAAGGCCACAGACUCAAUGCUACAGAUGAACAGAGUACAUGAAUGUACAGGCCUGCAGUCUUUACGGCUGUGUCCGUCCAUUACAUGACCAUACCUUAAGGUUCCUGUUGCUAUCGUUGCUCUGAGCAUUGGAACCUAUAGCUUUUAUUUCAGUUACCCAGCUAUCCUGAGAAAAGUAAUUAUCACCCAGCUGUAAACCCUGCGACCUACAACACAGACUGGCCCUUAAGAUAUACUGAUGUAACAAUUGCUCAACUGUUACGGAAGUAACCAAUCAUGUUUUCAUGUUAUUUAAGGCCCAGUCCAUAAAAUGGAAGCCAUGUAGGGUACUGCUAAAGUAGAGCCUGAGAUUAGAUAGGUCAGGGGUGCUAAAGGAAAAUCACCAUUAUUCAGCUAAAGGAUCACAGCAAUAAAAUGACUCUUAGCAGCAUAAUGCUAUAUCCAUAGAGCAGGGCAUCACUCAACUCUCACCCGGAGAAGCUUCUUGUGGUAGACAGGAGUUAGCAGAGACCUACAUGUGGACACUGUGCAGAGAAUGUGAGACUUUGGAGGACUCAAUCCUAAAUGAGAUCACACCCUUUACCUCAAAGCUCAUAAGAGCCCAAAAGAUUUUAAGAGUCAGAGGUGGAUGCCACCAAGAAAACUGUUCUAUCCAGACACAACAGGGCUGGUGCACAUGUGAACUCAGUCUGAGAAAAUGCAUGAGACCUGAACCAGUUCAAACCACAAAAAAGUUCCAGCAAGGAGAAGGGGAAGUUUAUUCGAAGUUCAACCCCGAAUCAAGAAGCUAUUUGCAGUUUAUAUCUGCUAGAAGGAAAAUCAGUUUUUCCUUUUUUUUUUUUUUUUGGUUCUUUUUUUUCGGAGCUGGGGACCGAACCCAGGGCCUUGCGCUUCCUAGGUAAGCGCUCUACCACUGAGCUAAAUCCCCAGCCCCAAAUCAGUUUUUUCUAAGGGAGUCUUACUGGUAUUCCAGGUCAUGCUCUAUUCCCUAAAGUACUCAGCCAACACAAAACAGACUCCAUGUGCUUUUUGUUUUUCUAGCAUUUGUUUGUUUUAAAUUAAAUAUAUUUUGUUUUGGUUUUGCUUGCUUGCUUGUUUUGAUUUUUAUUCUUUGGGUUUUUUUUUCAGAGAGAGUGGGAAAGACAGAGAAAGAGACAGGUGUGGGGAGAGAGAGAGAGACAGACAGACAGACAGAGACAUACAGAGAGACAGAGAAACAUGAAACUGGAGGCAUAAAACAUAAAUGGUACUCUAAUUACUGAAAGAUAGGUUUUACAUAUAGGCAAACAAAAACAUCAAAAAGAUUUUGGCCUAGAAGUGGUGUGGUUAAAAUUAGAAAACAGGCCAGGCAUUUAAUUGUCUUUUGUAUUGAUCUAGAAGAUGAAUAUGAAGACUGUCCUUAGAGACUUCACUAAAGAAAUUUAAAUUAAAAAGACAAGAAAACUUUAAACAGGAAAGCCAGUAAUGACUCACGGAGACUGAAAAAAAGCCAAAAAUAUAAAUUGAGAAUGAUUCCUAGGCUGCUAUGAGCAACAAGCAGAAAAUCAGUGGUUUAAUGUGUUGAACCAGGAAACAAAAAGGAGGGAAUGGUUAGCAGUGGGGCUUUGUGUCUCCAUUUGUGUUGCUUUCUCAUUGCUUGCAGGUACAUUCUGCAACUUAAAUUCAGAAGAGUAAAUACAUGGCAAUCCAUUAACAAUUUUCUCUCCACCACAUUAAGGUGUGCUUUGUCUUCUUGUCUUCUUUUGAGUUUGUAAAGUUACAUUCCUUAGAACCUUCUUUGAUGAGGCAUGUUUUGUUGAAUUUUUUUAACCUCACAGAUGUUUGGGUAGUUAAAAUUCCUCAUGAGUAUGGUAUCCUGUGGUUUUCACAACCUAAGCUCUACCCCAGGAAUUUUCCGUCCUUGCAGUCUCUCUGUCCUGGUGGUCUAUAGGAGAUGCACAUUAUGCGAUUCCUGUUUCAAUCCAUACUAAUUUCACACCCACACUUCUUUAACGUUGAGUAUUCCCUUAAUAAUAUGAAUGCCUAUUGAAGAGCACAAAGAUUUCACAGACCUUUAUGUGAUACUCUCCCAUCCCACAACUCAAAUUUAGGAUAUGGAUAAUUGGGAGGCGGGGGAAGGAUGGAUAGAAUAAUCUGCAAGUUAAUGUUUUAAGUUAAACAUCUCUGCCUUGUAAUUGUGUGCUUUGGGCCUCGGUAUAUACGUGGAAUGAAAUGGAGAAGUUGUUACUGCAGUGAUAGUUUAAGGAGAAAACAUGUUUGCUUCCAAUAUGGAGAUCUGAGGACAAGGGAGAAAGAAGUGUUAGUUUGAAUUGGCUGGGUAUCAUUUCCUUGGUUCACUCUGGUUUCGAUUUGUAGAUUCACAUUCAGAGAAUAAGACAGUUUAGCUCCCAGCUUGCGUUCUAACUCAGCUCCAGAAAGCUUCUGUCCUGCUCUUCUUCAUAAGCCCAGAGAGAUUCAAUACUAACUUGUGAUGACUGGUCGACAUUUUUGUUAUUCAAAUUCUGAACAAUUUAAUUUCAGACUACCCACCAAGCGCUCACUCUUCCUUAAGACCUCCAAGUAUUAAUGAGAUGUUGGAUCAAUAAGUGCUUAGGCAAGAGUUAGAACAAAACAUAUUCAUCUGAAACAUUGAUUUUUAUAUUGUUAUUUGGGGUUUCUUUUCCUUGAAUUUAGGUCAUAAGUUAUAUCAUGAAAGAGCAUACCAUUUUCUAAUUGGAGAUAAUAUAAAACAUUAAUUAUUUUUAUCCAGAUUAUCUGUUUUUUUAUAAAAUGUUUGUUUUUGACACACAGAAAUCUAAGCAUUGUUUAAGUACUGCUGCAAAAGAGAUUUUUGUUUGACCAUUCCAACUUGUUUGUUUCUGGAUUUCUGAGUCUCAAUAUGAAGCCCUGCUUGUCCUGGAGUUCAUUGUGUGGAUAGGCUGGUCUCAGACUCAGGACAUCCACCUGCCUUUGCUUCCCAUGUGCUGGGAUUAAAGGUUUGUACCACUAUGUCUACCUCAAAUUCCUUUUUGUUUUAACUGUUAUUUCACUGCACAAAAUUUUAUCCACUACUUAAAAUAUAACUAUUCUUUAAGAUUUUUAUCAGAUUGCUCUAAUGUUUUGUAUUUUUAAUGUUAUUUCAUGUAUACAUGACACAUGUAGCAAAGUUAUAUGUGUGUUAAAUACCUAAUGCAUGUAGUGUGUAUUUUUUCUAUGUUAUAUAGGAUACAUAUGUUACAUACAUGUAAUAUAUACAUAUAUAUGAUGUGCAUAUAUAUAUAUAUAUACACAGAGAGGGGGGGCUGUAAAUACCCACACUUUUUCUUGACUAACUCAAACUGAAGGUAAUAUUUUUGCAUGUGUUUCUGCAAACUUAAUAUGGUGAUAAAUCCUUAACAGGUAGGAAGUGACUGUAAAUGGGGUACGGAAUAAUACCACUCAACUAGAAACUCUUGAGCAGAAGGAAUGUUAAGAAUCCAACUUCCUAGUUUUGUCUGCCACAUUCUGAAUGGACGUGAUAUGUUUUCUAUUCUAAUUACACCAAUUCUACAGAUUCAGCACAUUCAGGACGUGUACUUCCUGAUACUGUGAGCAGGCAGAAUCAGGCAUUUCAUGAUAAGCAAGCUACUCACAGGAUGCAGGAUGCACCCUUCGCAGCAGAGGACAGUCAGAAACAGGCAUAUUCUAACCCAAAGUUAUAAACGACCAGGCACGAUAUGAAGUGUUUGGGCUCUACAACCAAAUGACCUGCAUUAAGUUGAACCUUGCUGUUUUAACCAAACAUCAGAGGACCUAAUAUUUGGGCCAGAGGUAACUUAGCUGCUUUAAAUAAUACUCUCUUUAUUACACUGUACACCGUAGCUGUCUUCAGACACCAGAAGAGGGCAACGGUUGUGAGCCACCGUGUGGUUGCUGGGAUUUGAACUCAGGACCUCUGGAAGAGCAGUCAGUGCUCUUAGCCACUGAGCCAUCCUUCCAGCCCAUAAUACUCUCUUUAAAUAAUAUUCUCUGCUAAUUUCCCACUAUUCCUACCAUUCAUUUAUCUUGUAUUAGUCAACUUCAAUCACUGUAUAACUUUUUCCAAGAACAUACAGUUUCUGGUGUGGAAUGAUGUCAUUACGCAGGCGAAGGCAGGUAGAAGAUAGAACGAGGCCUGUCAUUGGACGAGAGGGAAGAAUGGGUGGGAGAAAAGUUUGAAGGAAGAGGAGGAGACUGGAACGGGAAGGGGAGGAAGCCGCGGAGAGAACAUGGAAGCUGAUGUUAAGAUUCCUCUCUGCAUAUUUACAGGUUGUUAAGAAUAUUCUUAAGGGAUGGAUGUAUACAGGGUUUUGUAUAUUUAGGUGGGAAAUUAUAUCUUAUCAAUUAGAUCAGAAGUUAUUGUGUCGUGUGUUCUUUAUAUGGCGAUUUAAGUUUAAGAGAGUUUGUGGUGGUGGAGACACUGGGCCGCUAUGGAAUUGAGAUGUAUAUUUCUGACAUGGUGGCAGCCUGCCUUGGGAACUGGGUGGGUAGAGAGAUUGUUGCCAGGCUCAGAGAGAGGCCAUCAGUAGUGUGAUAUGGGACGGAGCAAAGUGGAUGAGAGGCUUUGCUGACCGAGAUGAAGAUAUCUAUCAGAUGUCUUUGGGCACUGCGGUGCGGAAUCUAGUGCAGGCAAAAGACAGCUUUUUUAAUAUAAUUUUACAGCAACAUUCUGGGUCUUUAAAGUUGAUUAUUUUUUUGAGUUGAACGUUCCACUUUCUGUCAAAAUGUAAUUUGUGAUUUUUACCUACCGCUAACAGCCAAAGCACCUUACAUCCAUAGCUUCACCAAUGUUUUUGUAACUAUGUGUCAAUUUCAUUAUGCUUUUAGUUUUAUGGUGAGAGAUCAGAGUCCUGAGAAGAAAAUCUACUACUGCCAUUUUUUAAAAACCAAUAGAAUUUCUAACAGUAUUCUGAAUAUUUCCCCUUAUAUCAAUAAUUAGCUGUACUUUCCCCCUCAGCCAAGAUGUUUCUUUUUGCAUCAGAUGGAUAUUAUCAUAGGAGCCACAACUGGCCAAAAUGCAAAGAACAGGUAAUCAACCUCACUUAGUUUAAUUUAUAAUUCAAUCCUAUACCUAAGGUUCAGGGAACACCACAGAAGAACAUUUCAAAAGAUUGUAAGAACCAGAGGACUGGGAUUCUUCUAUGAGAUAGAGUUUUGUAGACAUGAUAGGAAAGCUGUACUAUAAAAUCUCUUUUGGUUUCCUAAGCAAGACUUCUAUAGACAACCAGUUGGUAUGCCAAUGGAUAUUUCUUAAGGCGUCAGCUCUGUAUGAAGAGCUAUAAGCAAUUAAUGACUGCGCAAAGAGAAAGAGAAUCAGUUUUCUCCAGAGAUGUUUUUGAUCGAAUAUCUAAUCCCAAGUGAUCAUCCCUGAACAUAUAUACGUAAGAACAACAUCUGUGUGUGUGUGUGUGUGUGUGUGUGUGUGUGUGUGUGUGUGUGUGUGUGGUAUGUCUGUAACAAUAAUUAUGGAAAGAAUGGUCAUGAAUUUGAAUGGCAGUCUAACAGGAUCCUGGAGGAGUUGGAGAGAGAAGAAAGUAGAAAUGAUGUAAACAGAGUGCUUGUAUAUGAAAUUCUCAAAAAAAUAAUUAAAAAGAAUAACAAUUUGUUCUCAAAUUAUAGCAUUUAAAGUAAGUAUUAUUAUUGACUAAUCAUUAACUGGAUGUAAUUUGUUGCCAUAUUUCUUAGUGUGUGUGUGUGUGUGUGUGUGUGUGUGUGUGUGUGUGUGUGUGUGUGUUUUAGCACUGGCAUAUUAUUACCUGCAUUGGAAAACAAUUCCUUUUCCUUAUAGUUUAGUUGGGAAAUCCCUAUAGAGUGUCUACUGUUGUCAGAAAUCAUCCCAGAUAUAUAAAGACAUAUUAACAAUCAACAAAUGAUAGUUUUAAAAUAACUAGCUAAUUUUUAUUCACUGUAAUAUGGUGCUAUAAAAAACUUCAUGGCUACUUUUAAUUGAGUUGUCAUAAAUAAUUCUAUGGACAAAUCAUUAAGAAGAAGGCUAUAUGAGUAUUUCUUUCUGUUCAUGGUAAGAAAGGCAAAGCACAACAUUUCAUCCUAAAAGAACAGGGACUUUUAGCAAUAAAAAUACUGUACCGUGAAUGGCAGGAAAAGGUAAGGAGGAGUGGUUACAAGUCACCUAUGUUAAAAUUAAAUAGUCCCAUAGCACAGGCCAGUCAAGUUAGUACACUUAGUUGAAACUAAUUAGGGACAGUUGUAAGGAAAAAAGGAUGCUGUCUGGAUUCUAACUUUCUGUUAGCAAAUCAAUAAUAGCAAAUGGCAAGGUAGAAAAGAAGACUAUGGGGAGAUUUUGUGUUUAGAUUAUUCUUACUUGGAGAGGUUUAUCAGACAUGCCAGCCUAAUGGAAUCAAUCAUAUAAAUAUACUCAUCUGCAGAACCUGGGAGCUUUGGGGACUAUAAAUAGAGAUUUGAGGAUAAUCAAUGUGGAAGUUAAAGCCAUAAGACAGAAGAAGGCAAAGCUAAGAUCUCCUGGGAGCUAUGAAAUAUUAAAGAAAAAGACAAGUAGGAAUCUCUGAGUGUUACAACAUUUAGAAUUAAUAAAGCAGCAUAAAAAAUAAGCAAGAGAGUCUAAAAAAGGACUGACAAGAAGGUCGGGAAAAAUAGAAAACCUAAAGUGGAAAAUCUUCCGGAAACAAAAGCCAAAGUACUAAGGAAAAGGACUUGGAUAAGCAAUGUGCUGAGAGCCAAGUUUGGAAUUCUACGUCAAGUGUAGAAUUACACUAAACAACAUUUGUUAAUCGCUAUGACAAAAAAUGACGCCAGACACUCCAGGGAACUGUAACAAGAGAUACGUUCAGGCGAUCAGACAAAGACUCUAGAUAAAAGUCUAUUCUAUUAUCUAUAAAGGCCCACAACAGAUCACUAAAAAUCCUCUGUGUGUGUGUGUGUGUGUGUGUGUGUGUGUGUGUGUGUGUGUGUGUGUGUGUGUGUGUUUCUGUCUGUCUGCCUGCUAAUAGCAAAAUUCUUUUAGGAAGAUCUAUUUUAAUUUGAAAGGCAUCUCUGAAUAAGAGCCUUGAUCAGGAAAGGAAGAUAACACUAUAAAUUCUGUAUUUAAAGGGUGUUGUGUCUUUUUUUUUAUUAACUUGAGUAUUUCUUAUUUACAUUUCGAGUGUUAUUCCCUUUCCCGGUUUAUGGGCCACCAUCCCCCUAACCACUCCCUCUCCCCUUCUUUAUGAAUGUUCCCCUCCCCAUCCUCCCCCCAUUGCCGCCCUCCCCCCAACAAUCAUGUUCACUGGGGGUUCAGUCUUAGCAGGACCCAAGGCUUCCCCUUACACUGGUGAUCUUACUAGGAUAUUCAAUGCUACCUAUGAGGUCAGAGUCCAGGGUCAGUCCAUGUAUAGUCUUUAGGUAGUGGCUUAGUCCCUAGAAGCUCUGGUUGCUUGGCAUUGUUGUUCAUAUGGGGUCUCGAGCCCCUUCAAGCUUUCCAGUUCUUUCUCUGAUUCCUUCAACGGGGGUCCUGUUCUCAGUUCAAGGGUGUUGUGUCUUAAUAUAAGAUGUCCCUGACAGGUUCAUGUUUGAAUAUUUCAUCUCAGCCGCUGCCACUACUUAGGAAGGUUGUGGAUCCUUUGGGAGAAGGAAGCUUUCUAGGGGAAGUACAUCACUGGAAGGCCAGUCUUAAGGUUUUAUGGCCUGGCCUACGUCCAGUUCUUGCUCUGCUUCAUGACUAUGAAUACAGUGUGUCCAGUUAUUGGCAUGCUCUGGCCACCAUGCCUUCCACCUGAUAUUGGCUAUAUCUCUGUGAAACCAUAAGCAAAAAUAAGUCCCUUCUUCCUCAAGUUGCUUUGAUGAGGAAUUUUAUUGCUGGAUAUAAAGUAAUUCAGACAGAGGGCGUAUUACAUUGAGCAGUAUAAGCAUGGGAGCCUGUGUUACUUUAACAUGCUGGGACUAGGGCAAAGAUGGCUUUUCAGAGAAUAUCUCUGUAAACCCGGCAUUCAGAAUGUGACUCAUAAAUCAUUUACAUUUCAUGGAAAUCUGCAAAUUUCUAUGAAAACAGGAUUCAGGAUAAAUAAUAAAAAUUUAUUUACUUAAGUAUGGCCAGGUAUUUUAAAAUACGAAAUUUAAGUUCAUGAGCAAUCUCCAUGAAUACCAAUGAUUAGAAAAACAGCAUUUUAAGAAUGUUUCCCUGAAUACAAAAGUCCUGAACUAUAAAUGUUAUUGAGAGAUUAUGCUUCUUUGUAUUCUUAUAUUUUCUUUUCCAUAUAUUAAGUUGGGUAUUAGACACAUCAUAUUUAUUUUCCCCAGAAACCCAGAUCCAUUAAGGUCAUCACGAAUACAGUGUGCAUGUUAGGUAUGUUUGUGUGGGUCUGAACUCAGUAAAAAAUUUUGAAAAUUCUACUUAAAAGCAAUAAACCAAUAUCUGUGAAGUGAAUGUGUACAGCAUCAAUUGAGGGCAGUAUACAUCAAUCAAUAUGGCUGCCCUCAAGAGAGUGUUCCCAUAAUUCUUUGUUGUUAUAGAAGACUCUAAGAUGUUGACACAGUUCUUGUAGUUAAAAAAAAUCCCGGGGUUGGGGACUUAGUUCAGUGGUAGAGCGCUUGCCUAGGAAGCGCAAGGCCCUGGGUUCGGUCCCCAGCUCCGAAAAAAAGAACCAAAAAAAAAAAAAAAAUCCCUAGCAAUCACUGAAGUUUAAAUUUCCAUCCAUUUCUCUUUAAAUCAAAAAUAAUUGUGUUAUUGCAUAAGUUCAUUUGCAUACUAACUUAUUUUUACCUUUAGCGAGUUUUGUAUACAGUGGAAUAAACAGAAAUCACUGACAUUGGAGCUAGCAUAACAGAAAGCAAUAUGAAGAGAUGACAGGACAAUACUCACGGCCGGGCAGCGUUUGUGUAGAAAUCCAUUCCGAGGCA